UACAGAGGGUGCAAGCGUUAUUCGGAAUUAUUGGGCGUAAAGAGCACGUAGGCGGUCUCGUAAGUCUGGUGUGAAAUCCCUGGACUCAAUCCAGGAAGUGCAUUGGAUACUGCGAGACUAGAGGAUAGGAGAGGAGAGCGGAAUUCCUGGUGUAGAGGUGAAAUUCGUAGAUAUCAGGAGGAACAACAGGAGCGAAGGCGGCUCUCUGGACUAUAUCUGACGCUGAGGUGCGAAAGCGUGGGGAGCAAAC
rnacentral:rRNA from 1 species